AUUGUGCUAUAGCCUCAACUUCUACUUCAUCUUCACUAAGCCUAAAGAAAAAGUUGCAACAAGAACACAUUUUUUCAGCUGGGAUUUUCUCAUUCAAGCCUAUAAAAAAACCAAAAUUUUGUGACAAAAAACAUAGUAUUCAUAACCUUAAGAAACAACAUAGUUAUGUGAAAAAUUUGGAACAAUCAAAAUUUUCAAGCAAAAAUAAAGUACCUAAUGAAGUUGAAGAUUUCUUCUUUUUUCCUCCAAACCCUUUUUUUCCACCACCUAUUAUCCCUAAUCCACUUCAACCUCCACCUUUGAUUCCUAACCCUUUGCAACCACCACCUUUGAUUCCAAAUCCAUUUCAACCACCAAGUCCACCCUUGAUUCCUAAUCCAUUUCAACCACCAAGUCCACCACUUAUUCCAAAUCCAUUUCAACCUCCUCCAUCAAAUCCACCACUUAUUCCUAAUCCAUUUCAACCUCCCCCAGCAAGUCCUCCACCACUCAUUCCAAAUCCAUUUCAGCCUCCACCAUCAAGUCCACCACCAUCAUUUCCUUUUCCACCAAUAGUAAUACCAGGUUUAACUCCAUCACCACCGCCGC
rnacentral:lncRNA from 1 species